AGGACGAACGCUGGCGGCGUGCUUAACACAUGCAAGUCAAGGGGGCCCAGCAAUGGGCAACCGGCGAACGGGUGCGUAACACGUGAGCAACCUACCGAACUGUGGGGGAUAGCCGGCUAACGGCCGAGUAAUACCGCAUACGCUCUCAGGGAGGCAUUUCUUUGAGAGGAAACCUACGGGACAGAUCGAGGGGCGUCGCGGCCUAUCAGCUAGUUGGCGAGGUAACGGCUCACCAAGGCAACGACGGGUAGC
rnacentral:rRNA from 1 species